rnacentral:misc_RNA from 1 species
AAAGUCGUAACAAGGUUUCCGUAGGUGAACCUGCGGAAGGAUCAUUAACACGUAUCCAAACGUUAAAACCCCCCUGUGAACCUUCACCACUUCUUAAGCCCUCCCGGGGGUAGAGCAGGCAAUCCCUAGUAAAUCAUUGUCUUAACAGGUUUUGAGUUAGGGACGUCCCCCACUACGGGACUUGUGCAGAAGACAGUAUUGCCCUGGUGCCCCCAAGCAACCAUCAAUCUUAAAGUGUUUGGUGAAUUGUGCAAGGGCGUCGCAGUCAACGCUCGCUGGAGGCCCACACGGCCGGCGACCGGGGCCAUUACCACGACCUACUACGUGGCCUACGUCACCCCCCCGAGCAUGGCAAGCGGACGCGCCGCAAGGUUGUAUCCACCCCUAAAACCGAACAACUGUUAACAAUGGAUAUCUUGGUUCUC